rnacentral:rRNA from 1 species
GCAAGUCUGGUGCCAGCAGCCGCGGUAAUUCCAGCUCCAAUAGCGUAUAUUAAAGUUGUUGCAGUUAAAAAGCUCGUAGUUGAACCUUGGGCUUGGUUGGCCGGUCCGCCUUUUUGGCGAGUACUGGACCCAACCGAGCCUUUCCUUCUGGCUAACCUUUCGCCCUUGUGGUGUUUGGCGAACCAGGACUUUUACUUUGAAAAAAUUAGAGUGCUCAAAGCAGGCCUUUGCUCGAAUAUAUUAGCAUGGAAUAAUAGAAUAGGACGUUAUGGUUCUAUUUUGUUGGUUUCUAGGACCAUCGUAAUGAUUAAUAGGGACGGUCGGGGGCAUCAGUAUUCAGUUGUCAGAGGUGAAAUUCUUGGAUUUACUGAAGACUAACUACUGCGAAAGCAUUUGCCAAA